rnacentral:lncRNA from 1 species
GUCCGAGUGAGGACAGCAGGAUGCUGGGCUCUUAGAAGAAGACGAGGCCUUGCAGGGUGGCGGCUGGUGCUCGGCUCUUCCGCAGAGCUGGGGGACGCCGUGGAGGAGGGAUUCUCACCGCGGAGGAUGAAUGGAUGGCGGAGGACCCUGGCGCCUUCUUACCCAGCAACCGGCGAACCCUGCGGGGCCGUCCCACUUUCCUCCCCUCCCCUCCGCUGGAACGUUCGCGAACCUUCUAGAACAUUCUGCGGUCUCCUGGGAGGCCAGCCCUUCUCCUCCAGGACUCUGCCCUGACCGCUCGCCGCUCCCACGCCCCGCUUCAGCUGCUCCUGUUCUCUCCUUUCCUUCUCACUGCCGCCCUGCAGAAGCUCCGGCCCCAUAGGACAGGCACUUCCUUCUGCUGUGUCAGCGGGACUCUGCCAAAUAAACGCAGGAACGGCUGAGUGACAAAGAGCCAGCUGUUUUGACAGUAGCCACCCUGGCAUCUGGGCGCGACCCUCAUCACCUACUCUGCAGCCCGAGCCACCCAAGGGCGGCGCCUCCCCUUUGCCUAGUCCAUCGCCCCACGGGGAUGGAUUCUGGGACCGUUGACGUCCACCUCCCGUGCCCUGCUUUGGUGCUGCUGCUGACGGUGAUGCUGGGGACUGCGGGGGUUUGAGUGGUCUUCUCCCUGGUUGGGGUGGGGCCUCACCUGCAUGUGAUUUGCAUAACGUCCUCUGACCACGCCCCUGGUGGAGUUUAAAGACCUUUGCCUUGGCUUCCAAGUCGCACCUGCAGUUCCCCCACCCCGUCCCAUCUUCUUGCUGCAGGGCCAGGACGUUCUUUCUGCAACCCCAGCCAGAGGCCCAAGAGCUGGGAGGUCCCUGGGGAGAGGCUUCUUCCAGCCUGGAAGAGGUGCUUGGCCUCCAAGCCCCCAAAACUGAUGUCAUCUCUGGGGACCCAGCUGAGGCUGGGUCAGGGGAGGAGCUCCGGGCGUGUAGGGCGGGGCGGGGCUCUAUUUCCAGCCGUGCUCCUCCCAGUUUGGGGAAAAGGCAGGGCCACCCUGGCCACACCCACCAACCUGCCCAAAGGGCUCCCCCAGGCCCCUGAUCCCUGCAUCCAAGUGGCUGUGGAAGGGGACAAGUGCGCCCCACACCCCGGAGUGAGCCCCCCGAGGGAGUGAGACGCAGCCGGGGAGCAGGAGUGGAGAAGUCACCGGUGGAGGC